CAUAAAUCCAACAUCUUGUUGAACAGGUUCAGACACUGUUGCUGUUUUCUGUGUUGAACAUUCUGAUUUGUAUCUGAGUAGUCUGGCAGCUUCCUCUUCCACGGCAUCAAGAUCAAUUCCUUGGUACAGAUUGAGCUUGGUAAUAUCCCAAUUUUCUUUUGCGGCUCUCCAGCUUACUCUCGCCUAUUCCUGUAAGACUGCCAUGGCCUGCAUGUUGAGAGCUCUUUGCAGUCGACUCCAGGCCAGGUUGAGGAGUAUGAUCAUGUUGAGUUCCUGAUGCACGCCCGCUGUCUUCAUCCAUCCUGCUGCUUUGAGCCACAGAGUCAGGGCUGAAGUUUUUGGCGAAGUCCGGCAAUCUUUGGAAUGGUGAUUGGCUCAGCAAUGAUCGCCUGCCAGUUGAUGCAAAGUUAGAACUGAGGUGAGAAUACAGCAGAUCACCAUAUGUAAAAGUUCAAGGAAUGAACUCAUAGGUUGAUGUUUUCUGAUUCUGUGAAAUAAGGGAGCAAAUUUGAAA